CCUACGGGUGGCAGCAGUGAGGAAUAUUGGUCAAUGGACGAGAGUCUGAACCAGCCAAGUAGCGUGAAGGAUGACUGCUCUAUGGGUUGUAAACUUCUUUUAUAUGGGAAUAAAUUGUUCCACGUGUGGGAUUUUGUAUGUAUCAUAUGAAUAAGGAUCGGGUAACUCCGUGCCAGCAGCAGCGGUAAUACGGAGGAUCCGAGCGUUAUCCGGAUUUAUUGGGUUUAAAGGGAGCGUAGGUGGAUUGGUAAGUCAGUUGUGAAAGUUUGCGGCUCAACCGUAACAUUGCAGUUGAAACUGGAAGUCUAGAGUACAGUAGAGGUAGGCGGAAUUCGUGGUGGAGCGGUGAAAUGCUUAGAUAUCACGAGGAACACCGAUUGCGAAGGCAGCUCACUGGACUGCAACUGACACUGAGGCUCGAAAGUGUGGGGAGCAAACAGGAUUAGAUACCCCAGUAGUC
rnacentral:rRNA from 1 species